UGGGGAAUCUUGGACAAUGGGGGCAACCCUGAUCCAGCCAUGCCGCGUGAGUGAUGAAGGCCUUAGGGUCGUAAAGCUCUUUCGCCUGUGAAGAUAAUGACGGUAGCAGGUAAAGAAACCCCGGCUAACUCCGUGCCAGCAGCCGCGGUAAUACGGAGGGGGUUAGCGUUGUUCGGAAUUACUGGGCGUAAAGCGCACGUAGGCGGACCAGAAAGUUGGGGGUGAAAUCCCGGGGGCUCAACCCCGGAACUGCCUCCAAAACUAUUGGUCUAGAGUUCGAGAGAGGUGAGUGGAAUUCCAAGUGUAGAGGUGAAAUUCGUAGAUAUUUGGAGGAACACCAGUGGCGAAGGCGGCUCACUGGCUCGAUACUGACGCUGAGGUGCGAAAGUGUGGGGAGCAAACAGGAUUAGAUACCCUGGUAGUCCACACCGUAAAACGAUGAAUGCCAGUCGUCGGGUAGCAUGCUAUUCGGUGACACACCUAACGGAUUAAGCAUUCCGCCUGGGGAGUACGGUCGCAAGAUUAAAACUCAAAGGAAUUGA
rnacentral:rRNA from 1 species